GACGAACGCUGGCGGCGUGCUUAACACAUGCAAGUCGAACGGAAAGGCCCUGCUUUUGUGGGGUGCUCGAGUGGCGAACGGGUGAGUAACACGUGAGUAACCUGCCCUUGACUUUGGGAUAACUUCAGGAAACUGGGGCUAAUACCGGAUAGGAGCUCCUGCUGCAUGGUGGGGGUUGGAAAGUUUCGGCGGUUGGGGAUGGACUCGCGGCUUAUCAGCUUGUUGGUGGGGUAGUGGCUUACCAAGGCUUUGACGGGUAGCCGGCCUGAGAGGGUGACCGGCCACAAUGGGACUGAGGUACGGCCCAGACUCCUACGGGGGGCAGCAGUGGGGAAUAUUGCACAAUGGGCGGAAGCCUGAUGCAGCAACGCCGCGUGCGGGAUGACGGCCUUCGGGUUGUAAACCGCUUUCGCCUGUGACGAAGCGUGAGUGACGGUAAUGGGUAAAGAAGCACCGGCUAACUACGUG
rnacentral:rRNA from 1 species